CAGCAGCCGCGGUAAUUCGUAGGGUGCGAGCGUUGUCCGGAAUUAUUGGGCGUAAAGAGCUCGUAGGCGGUCUGUCGCGUCGGCUGUGAAAACCCGAGGCUCAACCUCGGGCCUGCAGUCGAUACGGGCAAACUGGAGUACUGCAGGGGAGACUGGAAUUCCUGGUGUAGCGGUGAAAUGCGCAGAUAUCAGGAGGAACACCGGUGGCGAAGGCGGGUCUCUGGGCAGUAACUGACGCUGAGGAGCGAAAGCGUGGGGAGCGAACAGGAUUAGAUACCCUGGUAGUCCACGCCGUAAACGUUGGGCGCUAGGUGUGGGGGCCAUCCCACGGUCUCCGUGCCGCAGCUAACGCAUUAAGCGCCCCGCCUGGGGAGUACGGCCGCAAGGCUAAAACUCAAAUGAAUUGACGG
rnacentral:rRNA from 1 species